CAGUAUAUUCCAGUUUAUCCUGUGGAAUAGGAAGGAAUGGCCCCAGACGUAAUUACAAAAAGAAACCUUCCGCCUGCCUAUCAGCAGCUAUUGACCCAGGCAUGGACCCAUCAAGGAUAAUCUGGAA